rnacentral:tRNA from 1 species
GGGACGAUGGUGCUGGGCACCCGGCGGGCUGCAAACCCGCUUGUUCCCGGGUUAAACCGGGAAGGAGGUUCGAUUCCCCUCGUCCCC